rnacentral:lncRNA from 1 species
UAUUGACAACAUCAUCAUUAACGACUGUUCGAAUCAUGACUCGUUUAAGUGCGUGUUUCACUGCAUCAGACACAUGCACCAUGAUUUUAGUGUCUGCCUCUAAAUGUGAACUUGGUGCUGAACUUGAAAUACAUUACGUGGUGGAUAAGAUAGAAUAUCCUGACCAUUUGUUGCUAUAACUACCAUACGCAUCCAAGACUUCAUCCACUCGUAUUUCAGUUUCAAGGUAUUUUAUUUAGGUAAGGACAUAAUACCCAAUCAGCAUACUCAGUAGGCCGCAAUUCACAAUCGGAGAGCUGAUUUCCAACAUUUACAAAGACUGUGGUAUUGUUUCUCACAUCUUAAUAAAUUCUGCAAAAACACAUAUUUUCUUGCCUUGUUAACCUAAUCUGUUUCUUUUUUUUUUUAUCUUCCAACAAAACCACGUAUCGUUUUCAAUGACAUUAAACAUCAAAUCCAUAUGGUGAUGUUGGCUGGUCAAUCAUCAUUCUAAAUGCUAUAGUCACAUCUUCAAACUCCAUUAAUGUCACCAACGCAGUUCCUUUUCCAGCGAACGUGUUAUCUUUUAAUGCCUAGUGCAUUUGAAAGGUCAUUGAUUGAUAUAUAUCUUAUACUUUUCCCCUUCUAAAUGCAAACCAAAGUUUGUCUGCCCUAUGUCACGGAAUAGCGAAACAGCAAUGACAUCAGUAUCGACUGUUUGAGUCAUGACUCAGUUAAGUCUAUGUUUCACUGCAUCAGACACAUCUAUCUUGAUUCUAGUGUCAGUCUCUUCGUGUAAACAUGGUGCUAAACUUGAAACAUCAUCAAGUGGUGGAUAACACUAAACAUCCUGAGCAUUUGUUGCUUCAACUACCUUGUACUCAAAAUUGUAUUGAGCAAGCUCCUGUGAAUGAAAACUUAAAAGUUCUUUCUUACUGUCGUCAUCUCUCAGAAAACUUUCCCAUCUUUGAGGAUGUUUUUAAUCCUGGGUUCGUCUGUGUAUUCCCUUUCCCCUAAAUGUUGCCCUUGCUUCUUUUAGCAGCUUUAAAACUACCAGUAUUUCGCUAUUCCGUAACAAAGGGGCAGACGAACUAUUGAUUGUAUUUGGGGAGGCAAAAAUCUUUGGAUUAAUAUCUAUCAAUGGCCUUUCAAAUGCAC